rnacentral:lncRNA from 1 species
AGAACAACCCUCUCUCUCCAGCAGAGAGUGUCACCUCCUGUCUUGGGAUCUUCAGGCUCUGCUAACUGGACCUCACCCUGCCUGCAGGAUCACAUUGCAAAGCUUUCACCCUUCCCCACCUUGCCUGGGGGUAAAUUUCUUCUGCGGAAUCUCAGAAAAUCAAAUUCCAUCCUAAGACUAUUUCACCAAGUAUUUCCUUAAGGAGCUGUGCUGGUGACACUGAAAUUACUUGAAACAAUUCUCAUUUCACAUGUUAGAAAAAUGAUAGUAUAUCACUCUAAGAUGUACACUGUAUUACUACUAGAUUAUGUUAUGUACAGUGAUAGUCUAGAAAAUAAAACUAGCAAGUAAUAAAACAUCUAAACGGAUUAAAAGGCACACUUCUGAAAAAAUAAUCAGGGAACAAUGCCUUUUAAAAUUAGCUCUACUAUUAGCUAAGAUUAAAUUUUGACAGCUGGAAAACAUUUUUCCCCUAGGAAACUUUAAAUUUUCCAUAUAAUUAGUACUCCAAAAAGGGGGUGAAAGAACAAUUACUUAUGGGGGUCUCAGAGUCUCACUCAUUCUGUAGUUAAACACAGUGGAGAAUUAAAAGAAAAGUAAUCACUUUGGAUUUACUAUAUUUGUCUUCUAUUUGCCUUUCACCUCUAUUUAUACAUAUAUCUCUAACUAUUGAACUAAUGGAAUUUUCAUUGUUUGCUGUUGCCAGAUGUAUUUAAAUCUCUCUUUUACUAACCCUGGACUGUUUCCGCUGUAUUGGAUCAUGGGGUGGGCAGAAAAGGAAAAAACACACAACUACGAUUCAGAAUAUGUUGAUGUUUCUAUAUUAACUCUAAUUUCAAAGUGUUACUUCUAUUUGUCUGGUAUCCCUCUGCAAGCUUGUUCGAGGAGGGUGUGAUAUUAAGACAACUGUGUAUAAAGAAAAAUAACAAAGGUUUCCCAAAUGAGUAUAUCAGAUUAUUAAACAGAGAAAGUGUGUGUUAAAGAAUUUCCAGAAUCAAACACUGAAAUGUUGAGUUGAAACAUCUGUUAAUGCUUCUUUCAACAGUACAGACUGUCCUGGACAAUUAAGAAACUAGUAUCUCCUUAAUAAGUUGUUGGUAUAGACAUAUGAAAAAUUUGUUGCUAAGAAAGAUCAGAUGUUAGAUUUGGAUUCAAAUUAUAUUGACUGACAUAAUUCUAAUCUAUUUUCUCACCUAAAAUGAAAUUAUACUCUGCAAAAUGUCCUUCAAUGGAGAAAGCCUGUACUUAAUCACCCAUAAACUGACACAUUAAUGAUGGACUAUCAACUCAUUCUGAGUAAUUCCUUCAUAAUUUUUUACUCAGUUUUUCCACAAAUUUCUCCAAAUAAUGGAAACUUCAAUUAAGUCUUAUUUUUGUGAUUCUUUAAAAAUAUUAUGGCUGGCUUCCUAUCUUCUGUCAUUUAUUAAUUGUACUGAGUUCCCUGGCAUGUUUGUAGAAAUGGAUAGUGUUUUUAGAAUGUGACUUUGUAAAUAGCCAUUAAAUAACUAGGGGAGGAAAUGGAAAGAACACAUUAAAUGCCUAAUCCAAUGCCAGGGGGUAGUAACAAAAAUUAAAAUAGCAUUAUUUUUAAUUUAGAUAAUUUUCUUAGGAGGUAUUAUAGUAAUAUCAUAUUUAUAAUAACAAAGUCCUCAAAAUCUCUAGUCUUUAAUUUCUAGCCAAAACCCCAUAAUUUUCUUGCAUAAUUUAAUGUAUUUUUUGUAACUAUACUAGAGUAUCAUUUAGAAUCUUUAUUUUUAAAAAAUACUGUGGAAAAACAUAAGACAAUGAAUAUAGAGGGUUAUUAGGCAAAGAUAAUAUUUGAGAAAAUAAUUGGAAGUUUAAAACAAGAAUUCAUAUUAUUAUAUUCUAUAGUUAAUUUUCUUUAAUGGUAAGAGGGUAUCAGAGGAUCAAUGCAUGCUUUCAGCCAUAAAGAAUUAUUUUUCUGAAUGUUAUUACCCUAUAGGAUCAUAAAAUCAAUGCACAGACUCUAAUGCCAGUUCUAAAUAUGCAAAAUAAAAUAUAGAAUUGAAAAACUACAGUGACUAAUGUGAUCUGAACUAUACUUUACCUACAACAUUCAGUUAUCUUUAAGAACAUGUUUUGGUUAUUGCUACAAGUUCUUUUUUUCCCAAUAUAUCUUGGCACACACCAAAAUAUCACUUUGUUAGUUAAAAUGUGUAAAUUUUUAGAACAUAUGAGUAUUCACUCACUUAGAAAAAAAGGAAUAACAGAAAAUUAAAAAGAAAUUAGAACUAGGUCUGUAAUUUUUUAAAUUAUGUUAAAUGAAUGGUCAAGAUGUAUGUACUUUACUCACUGGUGAUGGCUAGGACAUACUGAAGUGUAAAUAAGUCAACAGCCUAGCGUACUUAUGACAACCUUCACAUUUACUUGGACAUAUUUUGCCAUUAUUUUAUGCAUAACACAUAUUUACUGCAGUGAAAAAUUCAAAAUAAUAUUAAGACAAGAUGUUUACCUUAUAAACUUAUGUUAAUAUGGAAGAAUUCUUUGGUAAACAUGUAAAAACUAAUCAGAAUUCAGUUAAUAGUAUUACUACAUCUUUCUGACUUAGAUCAUAUUUGUGACCAUUAUCACAAUAUUUUGCUUUCAACCCUUAUCUCCAUGGUUAAAAUUUGUUAGUUACUUAUUUUUUAAGAAUUGCUUUAGGGACUGCUAUAGAAAAAGAACAAAAUAAUUUUUUAAAGAUCAAACUAUACAUACACUAAACAAAACUUAUUUCAUAUUCCAUGUAUGACUUUGAACACAGCUUCAAAACGUAAUUCUUUGGAGUUAUAAUGACUAUGGUGUCAACAUUUCAGACAACAAAUAUGUUUAAAGAGGAUUAUUUGAAGUCAUUCGCUUUAAUUUUAUCUUUGUUUAGGAUUCAGAGAAGCUUUUAACCCAUAAACAUAAGACGUAUCAUUGCAACGAUGUUAAUGAAAGACACUCAAGGAGUCAAUUUUGUAGCACCUCUUAGUUCUUGAUCAGGCUACCAGAUAAUAUUAGUUAAGAUGGAAAAUCAGUAUACAACUAUUUAAAAUAUUUGUCUAUGUCUGAUUUUGAAGUCCAUGCAUGAACUAUAUAAACAUUUAUAAUUUAUCAGGAAAGUUCUUUCUAUUAAAGUGCUUCUACCAUGCUGCAUUAUUAAGUUCAAGAAAACCUCUCAUUUAAUAUCAGAAAAUGUUCUAAUGCAAUUAGGUGGAAGAUAAAAAUAUACCAGAAACUCAAAGUCUGUAUAUUAACAAGGUAUUUUGUUCAUUUUCUCAUUUACUCACAUGGACAACCAUUCCUGCCCCAAUUCUUUCAUCAAGAGUAGUUAUACAACUCAAAGUAAGUAGAUAGUUUUCACACCUUAAUUUUAAUUUACCUACUUAUAAAUUUGUUCAUAAUUAUGAAGCUAGAAAUUAAUGUAAAAUUGAAGAAAUAAUAUACAUUUAAUUAUAAAAUUCAGAAUAUAAAUAUUGAGGUAGUGUGAUUUGAGAAAAAGAACAUAUGAUUAGAUAUAUGAUAAUUAAAUCAACAAACCUUUUUAAAUAAUAGGAAAUACACUUUAAACAUCCUACUGCCAUACCAAUUUAAACAAUUUAAAUUUUCAUCCUCAAUAAAUCCAGAUUAUUCUCAUGUCCAAGUAAGAUUACAAUAUUGUUCAUUAAAUCAGAUUAGAGCAAAUAAUCUCUGCAUUUUUCCAUAUUUGAAUAAACUUAGUCAAAUUUUUUAAUUAAAUAUAUUAUUUUACAAAAAAAUGAAAAAUUUAAUUUUAAAGACAGUAAAAUUCUUAUUAAAAAAAUAAAAUGGAAUCAUUGACGGUGAACUGAGUUAGGAUCUAUGUUUAUUAGGUUACUAGUAUUAUUAUCAGAUUAUAAGUUGCAAAUAUUUUCCUAGAACAUGCUUCUUCCUUUAUUUCCCUUUAAAUUAAUUUGUUUACUUACAAGAGAUGGUAUUAUACAAAACUAACACACCAAUAUAUUAUUGUUUGCAAAAGUGGUCAAAAAGAUAUAUUUACUUUUUAAAUGUAAAACAAGUCUUAAUCUUUUUCUUCCUUCAUCAUUUAAUUAACUGUUUCAUGUUUUCUACAUUACUACCAAUUAAAAGGACAAAAAACUGAUCUCAACCCAAUAUAAAUUUAAAUAAAUAAUUACCCAACUCAACCGUGCAGUAGUGAGGUUACAUUUUAUUGAGGUUCUUGGAUGGAGCUCAAUUUUCAAUGAAUAAGAGAAAUCCUAUUCAUUUUAACUUAGAACAUAUUUUUAAUUAAAAAUGUUAAUACGGCAUAAGCUUUUGUAUAAAUCUGUUGUUAUUUCUCUAUUCAUAAAACCACAGUGACUUGUGAGCAUGUCAUUUGGUUUAUUAAAUGGCAGUGAUAUAAUGAAAGAACAGCUAGUUGGUUGACAAGGUGCCCCUCUCCUUCCAGUUUAGUCAGCUGGAAGGUCAUUAGCAUAUUCAUGAGCAUACAAGCUUGGUUUUAUCAAACAAAACUAAGGUAAAUUUGUCUUAUAUCCAAGCACUGAUUUCACACAUUUUUCAAAUAAGUAUUAAUUUGAACUCAUAACCAUACGUUAACCUGAGACCAAUUAUUAUGCAGAUAUUUGUGCAUGAACCUCAAUCUUGCUUCUCUUCCAAUAAUAUGAAGGGAAUAUUGGAACUUUGGUAAGUACUAUAUACAAAUAAAAAAUGUUUUAACCAAAAAUAAGGAGGAUUAAACCUAUGGGAAAAAAACACCAUCAAUGCGAAACUCGAUUUUUAAAAACUUCUGCUAUUUUCAAAUAUGAGGCAAAAUAGGAGAUUCGUUAAUGCAAGUCUAGUAUUAGGGUAACAUUUAAAUAUUUUGUUAAUCAAUUUACUAUGUCUUCCUAAAAAUUUUAUGUUCAUUGAAAUGUUUUGGUUUUAAAACUUUUUUUAGGACAUGACAAUAAAUGUUAUUAGCUAAGACAACAAAUAGAACUUAUGGAUUUGUGUUUUAGAAAUUUAUAUAUAGCCGCUGGUGCAGCCCUAAAAAGCCAAAAAAGACUGUUAAAAUAGAUAACAAGGACCUACUGUAUAGCACAAGGAGGUGUACUCAAUGUUCUGUAGUAACCUAUAUGAGAAAAUAGAAUGAAUAUAUUUAUAUGUAUAACUGAUUCACUUUGCUGUACACCUGAAGCUAAUAUAUUCUAAAUCA